rnacentral:rRNA from 1 species
AGUGAACGCUGGCGGUAGGCCUAACACAUGCAAGUCGAACGGCAGCACAGUAAGAGCUUGCUCUUACGGGUGGCGAGUGGCGGACGGGUGAGGAAUACAUCGGAAUCUACUUUUUCGUGGGGGAUAACGUAGGGAAACUUACGCUAAUACCGCAUACGACCUACGGGUUAAAGCAGGGGAUCUUCGCACCUUGCGCGAUUGAAUGAGCCGAUGUCGGAUUAGCUAGUUGGCGGGGUAAAGGCCCACCAAGGCAACGAUCCGUAGCUGGUCUGAGAGGAUGAUCAGCCACACUGGAACUGAGACACGGUCCAGACUCCUACGGGAGGCAGCAGUAGGGAAUAUUGGGCAAUGGGCGCAAGCCUGAUCCAGCCAUACCGCGUGAGUGAAGAAGGCCUUCGGGUUGUAAAGCCCUUUUGUUGGGAAAGAAAAGCAGCGGGUUAAUACCCCGCUGUUCUGACGGUACCCAAAGAAUAAGCACCGGCUAACUUCGUG